AGCGAACGCUGGCGGCAGGCUUAACACAUGCAAGUCGAACGCAUCCUUCGGGGUGAGUGGCAGACGGGUGAGUAACGCGUGGGAACGUGCCCUUCAGUUCGGGAUAACCCAGGGAAACUUGGGCUAAUACCGGAUACGUGCGGGAGCAGAAAGAUUUAUCGCUGAAGGAUCGGCCCGCGUCUGAUUAGCUAGUUGGUGGGGUAAUGGCCCACCAAGGCGACGAUCAGUAGCUGGGCUGAGAGGAUGAUCAGCCACAUUGGGACUGAGACACGGCCCAAACUCCUACGGGAGGCAGCAGUGGGGAAUAUUGGACAAUGGGCGCAAGCCUGAUCCAGCCAUGCCGCGUGAGUGAUGAAGGCCUUAGGGUUGUAAAGCUCUUUCGUCCGGGACGAUAAUGACGGUACCGGAAGAAGAAGCCCCGACUAACUUCGUGCCAGCCGCCGCUGUAA
rnacentral:rRNA from 1 species